rnacentral:rRNA from 1 species
UACGUAGGUGGCAAGCGUUGUCCGGAUUUAUUGGGCGUAAAGAGCGUGUAGGCGGCCAGGCAGGUCCGCUGUGAAAACUCGAGGCUCAACCUCGAGAGGUCGGUGGAAACCGUCUGGCUAGAGUCCGGAAGAGGAGAGUGGAAUUCCCGGUGUAGCGGUGAAAUGCGCAGAUAUCGGGAAGAACACCCGUGGCGAAGGCGGCUCUCUGGGACGGUACUGACGCUGAGACGCGAAAGCGUGGGGAGCGAACAGG